rnacentral:rRNA from 1 species
UACGUAGGGCGCGAGCGUUGUCCGGAAUUAUUGGGCGUAAAGAGCUCGUAGGCGGUUUGUUGCGUCGGCUGUGAAAUCCCGAGGCUCAACCUCGGGUCUGCAGUCGAUACGAGCAAACUAGAGUGUUGCAGGGGAGACUGGAAUUCCUGGUGUAGCGGUGAAAUGCGCAGAUAUCAGGAGGAACACCGGUGGCGAAGGCGGGACUCUGGGCCGAUACUGACGCUGAGGAGCGAAAGCGUGGGGAGCGAACAGG